UACCAAAGGAUGCUCUGUCUCCAGAAUAGUCAAUUAAAAAAAAAAUGUUUGAUUCCUGCAAAAUCAUGAUCAGAAACAGCAGCACUACUCAGAAUCUAAGGAAGGAAGCAGUGACUUACUGCUGAAAAACUUCACAGACAGGCAGUAAGCUACCAAGUUCUGCUUCAUGCACUGAAAGAAGGAAACCAAAUGCCUAUCAUUCAACUUGAAGAACAGGACAAUAGGCAAGUGUUCCUCAGCUAAUACUGAGCAAACUCCAAGGUGUCUCUUCAGGGUACAAAUCAAAAGGUAAAGGGCAUCCAUUAAUUUACCUGAAUUAGAGAGACAGGGGAGAGGAAUCCCCUUGGCUCUUGCUUUUUACUUGUGCCAGAGCUGUUUGAUGGUUGUGACACUAGGAUAGAACAAGCAGGAGGGAGCUAAAAAAUCCGUCCAUAACCUUUGAAAAUGAGCUCAGGAGUCUAUGAGUGAGUGGGUAUCGUUCAACUCACGCCAAAGGAUGAGGUGCCCCUGCAAGGAAAAAUUAACUAUCCAUCUCUUCUUUAUGACUGUAUGUCACCAGGAACUUUUUGAAGGUCAUUUGAGACAUGAAUCUGACUUCUCAGUUGUUUUAAUUGCCUGGAUGAGCUCACCUCAAAAUCACACAAAUACCAUCAAAGAAGAAAGAGAGAAGAUGAAGAAGGGACAGGGGGUCAACUGCAAUCCCAGAUGGCAGCUGCCUCUGUGAAUUGCUGAUGUCUGAAAGCAUCUCUCCAGGAUGAGUGCUGCAGGAUUCCAGAUGUAAAACAUAGCCCCAGUGUGAUCCAUCAGGCUGGUUGUGGCACUUGGUAUGCUGCAAGGAUAGUUGAGCUGAACUUAAGGAAGCAAAAAUCAAUUCAUAAACAACGUUUAGAUUUGAAAACUGUCCAAAUGUUUGCCACUCGGGUGAAGAUAAUUGUACUUGCAUGCAUUUUUGAAAUCUAUGGCCAGGGUGAAAACAGGUAUCUUUCAAUAACUCAUCUCUCAA
rnacentral:lncRNA from 1 species